rnacentral:rRNA from 1 species
AACUUUGAGCGGUGGAUCACUCGGCUCGUGUGUCGAUGAAGAGUGCAGCCAACUGU